UAGGGAAUCUUCCACAAUGGGCGAAAGCCUGAUGGAGCAACGCCGCGUGUGUGAUGAAGGCUUUAGGGUCGUAAAGCACUGUUGUAUGGGAAGAAAUGCUAGAAUAGGGAAUGAUUCUAGUUCGACGGUACCAUACCAGAAAGGGACGGCUAAAUACGUGCCAGCAGCCGCGGUAAUACGUAUGUCCCGAGCGUUAUCCGGAUUUAUUGGGCGUAAAGCGAGCGCAGACGGUUGAUUAAGUCUGAUGUGAAAGCCCGGAGCUCAACUCCGGAAUGGCAUUGGAAACUGGUUAACUUGAGUGUUGUAGAGGUAAGUGGAACUCCAUGUGUAGCGGUGGAAUGCGUAGAUAUAUGGAAGAACACCAGUGGCGAAGGCGGCUUACUGGACAACAACUGACGUUGAGGCUCGAAAGUGUGGGUAGCAAACAGGAUUAGAUACCCUGGUAGUCCACACCGUANCGAUGAAUACUAGGUGUUAGGAGGUUUCCGCCUCUUAGUGNCGAAGCUAACGCAUUAANUAUUCCNCCUGGGGAGUACGACCGCAAGGUU
rnacentral:rRNA from 1 species